rnacentral:rRNA from 1 species
GACGAACGCUGGCGGCGGGCUUAACACAUGCAAGUCGAACGGAAAAGCCCUGCUUGUGUGUGGUGCUCGAGUGGCGAACGGGUGAGUAACACGGGAGUAACCUUCCCUGGACUGGGUGAUAACUUCAGGAAACUGGUGCUAAUACCGGAUAGGAGCGCCUGCUGCAUGGUGGGGGUUGGAAAGUUUCGGCGGUUGGGGGUGGACGCGCGGCUUAUGAGCUUGUUGGGUGGGUAGUGGCUUACGAAGGGUUUGACGGGUAGCCGGCCUGAGAGGGUGAACGGCCACAUUGGGACUGAGAUACGGAGCAGACGGCUACGGGAGGCAGCAGUGGGGAAUAUUGCACAAUGGGCCGACGCCUGAUGAAGAAAUGUUGCGUGUGGGAUGAAGGUUUUCGGGUUGUAAACCGCUUUAGCCUGUGACGAAGCGUGAGUGACGGUAAUGGGUAAAGAAGCACCGGCUAACUACGUG